rnacentral:lncRNA from 1 species
GGGCAGCCCGACUCAGAAAAACCGUCUGAGAAUUAGGCCGAUCUAUUCACGGCCUGGCUAGGCUUGUUCUAGCUUUUCUGGGCUGCAGGCCUUUUCUCGGGGGCUGGUGGUGUUUGGUGCUGCUCUGCGGAAGUGUAGCCCCUCCAAAGGGCAAGCAGGCCUGUGCAGGGACAGCCCCUGCGGUGGUAGGCUUCAGGCAAUUGUUGAGGCCAGCCCUCCUGGAUGGCAGGCAGCCCCAGGUCCGGUGAGAGCGUAGGGGGUGGCGGGGGUGGGGGGAGGGGAUGCACUGGGAAGCACAGCUUUCAGCUAGCUAGCGGGCCUGUAAGCUUGCUGUGGCGUGGGGGGUAUUCUAUGGGGACCCACCCCUUCUUCUCUCCCCUCCCCAGCACGGGCGCAGACCAGGCUCUUCUCCCAGGUUCCCUCUGAUGCGGCUUUCCACUUCCCCGCCCCUAGAGUAUUGCUCCCUUCCUCUGCGACAGCUUUGUUUUCUAGUCUCCCAGGCAGUCUCUGCCCCGUCAAAUGGUUUAGAGACCUCCCAAGCAGUUUCCGCUCUUCCCCGCCCCCCUAGCCCGGGGACUAAUCUCUGGAGCCGAGGUCUCGGUGCCCAGCCCCCACCCAGGCGUCCCCCGGCCCUUUCUCGGGGACUAACCUUCGGAGGCGAGGAUUCGGUGCCCAGCCCCCACCCAGGCGUCUCAAUUUUUGGUGACUGUGCCCGUAGUUCAGAUGGUCCGUUGGGUUCUUGAUCGUUUUUUCCUACUCCGACUUACUGCUACACUCUUCUCUGCAUCUGGAGAUUCCUCCGGUUCGUUUGAUCUUUCCCCCGGUAGGAGACUUUCCAGGGUGCGGGAUCCCUUUCUCCUCCGCAGUUCCCUUUCGGGAGCGCCCGUCCCGCUCGGAUUCGCCUUCUCUCACUCUCCUCUUUUCUCUCGUUCUGCCCAGUAAUGUCACGAACUUCUUGCCGUUAUUGGAGUUUAGGUUCCUUUGCCAGCGAUUGGUUGCUGUUCUGUGCGAGUCAUUUAUUCUGUAGAUGUGCUUUUUUUGUUGUGUGUGUGGGAGAGGGCAAGCGUGUCUCCCUACUCCUCCGCCAUCUUGUCCUCU